AGAGUUUGAUCAUGGCUCAGGAUAAACGCUGGCGGCGUGCCUAACACAUGCAAGUCGAACGUCCUUCUCUUUCGGGAGGAGGGAGUGGCGGACGGGUGAGUAACACGUGGGUUAUCUACCUUCUGGUGAGGAAUACCGGCGAGAAAUCGCCGACAAGACCGCAUAGGCUUCGCUCACACGAACGAAGCAAAGUCCCGCAAGGGAUGCCAGAAGAUGAGCCUGCGGCCGAUUAGCUAGUUGGUGGGGUAAGAGCCUACCAAGGCGACGAUCGGUAGCUGGUCUGAGAGGAUGAUCAGCCACACUGGGAUUGAGAACGGCCCAGACUCCUACGGGGGGCAGCAGUGAGGAAUUUUCGGCAAUGGGCGCAAGCCUGACCGAGCAACGCCGCGUGCAGGAGGAAGGUCUUCGGAUCGUAAACUGCUUUUCUGGGGGACGACGCAGCGACGGUACCUCAGGAAGAAGCCCCGGCUAACUACGUGCCAGCAGCCGCGGUAAUAC
rnacentral:rRNA from 1 species